GAAGUGCUGACUGCGCCGCGGUCUCUCAGCCGCCAACACACCGCGGACGCCCGGGGACAGCGACCGCUUCCUCCCUCCCCGCCCGCCUUGUCUCUUUUUGGUCUUGCUCUGUCGCCCAGGCUGGAGUCAGUGGCACCAUCGUGGCUCACUGCGGCCUCCACCUCCGGGACUCCAGGGAUCCUCCCGCCUCAGCCUCCCGAGGAGCUGGGACCACCGCACCUGGCUAAUUUUAAAAUUUUUCCUUAGAGACAGGAUCUCACUUUGCUGCCCAGGCUGGUCUCAAACUCCUGGGCUCAAGCGACCCUCCCGCCUCGGCCUCCCAAAGUGCCACCGUGCCAAGCCUCAGUUAGGUUUUUAAUUUUAAUUUGGCAUUGUUUGAUGCUCAGACUGCUGCCGUGUCAUUUUCACACGACAGCAAGUUGGGGACAGCGAGUUGUUCUGUCCUGCGCGUGUGUCCCCUCAUGGUCUUGAGUGACCUGACCCUCUGUGGGGAGCCCUGAGCCUCCUCCCUGCUCCCGCGGCCCCAGCUCUCAGCUGAUGGAGGCUCCGGGGCGGGCUCAAGCCCCCGGCC
rnacentral:lncRNA from 10 species